rnacentral:rRNA from 1 species
GACGAACGCUGGCGGCGUGCUUAACACAUGCAAGUCGAGCGAUGAAGUUCCUUCGGGAACGGAUUAGCGGCGGACGGGUGAGUAACACGUGGGUAACCUGCCUCAUAGAGGGGAAUAGCCUUCCGAAAGGAAGAUUAAUACCGCAUAAGAUUGUAGCUUCGCAUGAAGUAGCAAUUAAAGGAGUAAUCUGCUAUGAGAUGGACCCGCGUCGCAUUAGCUAGUUGGUGAGGUAACGGCUCACCAAGGCGACGAUGCGUAGCCGACCUGAGAGGGUGAUCGGCCACAUUGGGACUGAGACACGGCCCAGACUCCUACGGGAGGCAGCAGUGGGGAAUAUUGCACAAUGGGGGAAACCCUGAUGCAGCAACGCCGCGUGAGUGAUGACGGUCUUCGGAUUGUAAAACUCUGUCUUCAGGGACGAUAAUGACGGUACCUGAGGAGGAAGCCACGGCUAACUACGUGCCAGCAGCCGCCGUAA